rnacentral:rRNA from 1 species
UACAGAGGGGGCGAGCGUUGUUCGGAAUUACUGGGCGUAAAGGGCGCGUAGGCGGCCUACUAAGUCAGACGUGAAAUCCCUCGGCUCAACCGGGGAACUGCGUCUGAUACUGGAUGGCUUGAAUUCGGGAGAGGGAUGCGGAAUUCCAGGUGUAGCGGUGAAAUGCGCAGAUAUCAGGAGGAACACCGGUGGCGAAGGCGGGACUCUGGGCCGAUACUGACGCUGAGGAGCGAAAGCGUGGGGAGCGAACAGG